GACGAACGCUGGCGGCGUGCUUAACACAUGCAAGUCGAACGGAAAGGCCCUGCUUGCAGGGUGCUCGAGUGGCGAACGGGUGAGUAACACGUGGGUGAUCUGCCCCUUACUUUGGGAUAAGCCUGGGAAACUGGGUCUAAUACUGGAUAGGACCAUGCUGUAGGUGGUGUGGUGGAAAGAUUAGUUUCGGUAAGGGAUGAGCUCGCGGCCUAUCAGCUUGUUGGUGGGGUAAUGGCCUACCAAGGCGUCGACGUGUAGCCGGCCUGAGAGGGUGGACGGCCACAUUGGGACUGAGAUACGGCCCAGACUCCUACGGGAGGCAGCAGUGGGGAAUAUUGCACAAUGGGCGCAAGCCUGAUGCAGCGACGCCGCGUGGGGGAUGACGGCCUUCGGGUUGUAAACUCCUUUCAGCCAUGACGAAGCCCUUGUGGUGACGGUAGUGGUAGAAGAAGCACCGGCUAACUACGUG
rnacentral:rRNA from 1 species